GGGGAUGAGUGGAUUCGACAGGGUUGGGAGGCUUGGAACUGCGAGCCGAGGUGCUAUCACCCUCGUAAAACAGGUAGCACACUUUUAAGUGCCAACAAGCACGAAUUUGCUCUCGCAGCUUAACUAAAGCUGUGACGUCCAACUGCUCUUCCUCCGGUGAGCGCAGCUUGGGCGACAUAUCAGCCGGAGUGCCGCAGUCAAUUUGGAUAAUGUCCGACACUUUCGGAUAAAAUCCGAAGCCUUCGGGGACUGCGAAAGACGAAUGAAGGCUAGUUUCCAGAGGUUUUCGUCCGCUCGUGCUCUGGAAAUGACACUUAAAAGCUGACUACGCUCGUAGAGGUUGCAGGAAGAACAGUUCUGGACGGGGAGUUCGACUCUCCCCCAUCUCCACCA
rnacentral:tmRNA from 1 species